ACCUGCCCUAUGAUUUUAUAUUAAAUGGCCGCGAUAUUUUGAUCGUGCAAAGGUAGCAUAAUCAUUAGUUUUUUAAUUAGGAACUGGAAUGAAGGGUUGAACGAGAAAGAAACUGUCUCAAUUUAAUUUAAUUAGAAUUUUAUAUUUAAGUAAAAAAGCUUAAAUUUUUUUAAAAGACGAGAAGACCCUAUAGAGUUUUAUAUAUAGUAAUUUUAUAAAGUAAUUUAGAAUCAUUUUUUUUAUUAAUAUAUUAUAUAUUUAGUUGGGGUGACUAAAAAAUUUACAUAACUUUUUUUAAUAUAUAUAUUUCAUUAAUUUAUGUGUUAUUGAUCCAUUUUUUAUGAUUAAAAGAUUA
rnacentral:rRNA from 1 species